UCCCUGGAGAACUAAUGGUUAAUCCUUGGUGCUCUCACUGCUGUGGCCCAGGUUCGAUUCCCAGGCCAGGGAA